rnacentral:rRNA from 1 species
UGGGGAAUAUUGCACAAUGGGCGCAAGCCUGAUGCAGCCAUGCCGCGUGUGUGAAGAAGGCCUUCGGGUUGUAAAGCACUUUCAGCGGGGAGGAAGGCGUUAAGGUUAAUAACCUUGGCGAUUGACGUUACCCGCAGAAGAAGCACCGGCUAACUCCGUGCCAGCAGCCGCGGUAAUACGGAGGGUGCAAGCGUUAAUCGGAAUUACUGGGCGUAAAGCGCACGCAGGCGGUCUGUCAAGUCGGAUGUGAAAUCCCCGGGCUCAACCUGGGAACUGCAUUCGAAACUGGCAGGCUAGAGUCUUGUAGAGGAGGGUAGAAUUCCAGGUGUAGCGGUGAAAUGCGUAGAGAUCUGGAGGAAGACCGGUGGCGAAGGCGGCCCCCUGGACAAAGACUGACGCUCAGGUGCGAAAGCGUGGGGAGCAAACAGG